AGCAGUCGCCGCGGGAAUACAGAGGAUGCAAGCGUUAUCCGGAAUGAUUGGGCGUAAAGCGUCUGUAGGUGGCUCUUCAAGUCCGCCGUCAAAUCCCAGGGCUCAACCCUGGACAGGCGGUGGAAACUACCAAGCUGGAGUACGGUAGGGGCAGAGGGAAUUUCCGGUGUAGCGGUGAAAUGCGUAGAUAUCGGAAGGAACACCUGUGGCGAAAGCGGCUCACUGGACCAUUACUGACGCUGAGGCGCGAAAGCUAGGGGAGCAAACAGGAUUAGAUACCCCUGUAGUCCCUGUCUCUUAUAC
rnacentral:rRNA from 1 species